UCUUUAGGAGAUUUAAAACACAUUGAAACAGUGAUAACACAGAAUAUCAUGAAGGGCAGAAGAGCUGUUUCAAUGUUCACUUUACACUGUGUACUGGUUUAUGUCCGUGUGUAAUAGCUUUGAUUUAGCUGGCAAUGCUACAGAGCACAACAGUACCAUUUUUCUGCAAAACUGCUAGAAUAGUAGUAAUAGUUCUGCUAUUACUGCUACUCUUAUCGCCACUAUUGCUACACAUCAAAUAAAAUAUAAUCUUUGCCAUGUUCUCACAGGCAAAAUGUCAGAUUUGUGACCAAAGCAAAGCACCACAUUUAGUUUAGAUCAACAAUAUGUGCAAGAUGGACAGCUGAAUUUGUUUUUGCAUAGCCUCAAUCGACGCCACUGAAAAACACUGUCACAUGCAAAUAUCCAACACACAGUUACAGUUUUGCCAUGUCUUUGGCAUUCUUGACCAUGAAGUGAAGAAAUACUGUUCGAUUGGUUAAAAGGGUAGAAUUCAUGAGCCUCGAAUCAUUUUCUAUGUGUUUAGUUAUCUGACAACAGAAAUGGAAAGUAUGUUGAUGACAACAAUUAAAUAGUGAAUUCAGAUGGACUGAAAAUCAAUGUGAUGAUGGCUCAAAGGUGAUAGAGCCUUAACCCGCCAAGACAAUGACUAGUCUGAAUGUUGUUGUUUGCAGACAGAUAGGAGGAAGAAAAUAUUAAACAAUUUUGUAAUUGUUAAGGCAUUUCAGUAUGGAAAGUAAACCUUUCAGAAACAUUAUGAAGAUAUUUAUGCUGCUGCAUGUUGUUGUCAUACACUAACUGCGUUUUUCAGAUUUAGCCAACUUAGUUUUGUACACAAAUACUUUCACAAAUUCUCUGCUUCUGCUAUCCCACCCUACACUAGUUCCACUACUACCACCACUAAUUUUAUUCAUUCCAAGUACUACUACUAACUGAACCCUCUCGCUACCCUCUCUUCUCUUUGUCCUUCAGUCCUUUCGUCCCUCUUCUCUACCUUGCUCACAAGCAGACAAACAUCCACUCAGCCCUCACAAGAACUUCCUCCCCUGCAAUUCACCCUUUCAACACCUCUGGGCUGACGGAGGAGACGGCACUUAACUCUCAGCCCUUUUGUCUCCUGCAGUAAGUGUGGAGGUUGACUCAUUAAUCCCAGAUUCCUCUCUCUGUGACAGAGCCAAAGGCUGGACAUGGAACCGGCCACAAGGACUGGACGUCUCUGGGUGAGCUCAGUGCAGAGCGUUGUAGAGAGAAGAGGGGAGGACCUUUCCAACUAGGCGAGGGACAGACAGAUGGACGGUCAUAGAGGGAGGAAGAGAAGAAGAGGAGCAUUACAAUUAAUGCAAGCAGAGGUCUAAACAUCCCAUCACUCCACCUGGCUGCUGCUUCAGCUCUUCAUCUGCAUUAAUGCUUCAAACCGGAGCUGCUUAGGCUACACAAAAACAUCUGGUCCGAGUGGAAGGGACACGGCAAGACAGCACAGGAUGUGGAAGGAAGCUGGGGUGAGGAGGGAGAUGAGGAGCACCAGCCACAACACCAUAUGCACUAACCCCAAACCAUCAGCUGCCUACCCUGUGAAAGUGGAGGGACUCAGCCUGCUUCAAUGUUAGAAGGAUGAUGGAUCAGGGGAGAAAACCUGAGUAACGGCUAUGUUCUCAUCAUAUUCUGAAAGAUAAAAGAUGUUUUGUGGACAGCUAAAGAAGACCCACAAGUUGAGAAACCUUUUGUUUGUACUCAUGGAGGCAUUGAUAUUCUUAUCCAUCAUUUAGGUUUUAUACAGAGGCACUAAUAUUUACAUUGAGACAUUUAAACAAAAGUACACAUAAAAUGAACUGCAAGGUAAACACCUACAACCACUUGUUCAAAAACACAUGCAACUCAAGAAAAAAGGUUUUGCAUUGAUAGGUCUUCUGCCAGGUCGAGAGAUGAUGCUUUAUAGAAAAACCUUUGGGAGCUCUUGCAGACUUAUUUCAGAAGUUGUAUUUCUAGAUUUCAAUUCUCAAUCCAGCACAUAAAGUUAGAUGAUAAUUUAUAGCAAUAAGCACUGACUGACAGCUAGUUUAAAGGGUCUAGUCAAUAGCAUGGCUGCAUAAAAGCCUCUGGGAGUGAAAUGCAGCUGAUAAAUGUUUAAUAAAUGUUUCAGCAAGAAUCA